rnacentral:rRNA from 1 species
GACGAACGCUGGCGGCGGGCUUAACACAUGCAAGUCGAACGGAAAGGCCCUGCUUUUGUGGGGUGCUCGAGUGGCGAACGGGUGAGUAACACGUGAGUAACCUGCCCUUGACUUUGGGAUAACUUCAGGAAACUGGGGCUAAUACCGGAUAGGAGCUCCUGCUGCAUGGUGGGGGUUGGAAAGUUUCGGCGGUUGGGGAUGGACUCGCGGCUUAUCAGCUUGUUGGUGGGGUAGUGGCUUACCAAGGCUUUGACGGGUAGCCGGCCUGAGAGGGUGACCGGCCACAUUGGGACUGAGAUACGGCCCAGAGUCCUACGGGAGGCAGCAGUGGGGAAUAUUGCACAAUGGGCGGAAGCCUGAUGCAGCAACGCCGCGUGCGGGAUGACGGCCUUCGGGUUGUAAACCGCUUUCGCCUGUGACGAAGCGUGAGUGACGGUAAUGGGUAAAGAAGCACCGGCUAACUACGUG